GGUUUUUGGUUAAAAUAUAAAAAAUUUGCCCUGCCCCAUGAAAACGUUGUGUUAAAUGGCCGCGGUAUUUUGACCGUGCGAAGGUAGCAUAAUCAUUAGUCUUUUAAUUGUGGACUGGAAUGAAUGGUUGGACGUAAUAACAUCUUUUUUAGUUUUAUGAGUUGAAUUUUACUUUUUAGUGAAGAGGCUAAAAUAAAACCAAAAGACAAGAAGACCCUAUCAAGUUUUAUUAUUUUAUAUUAUUUAUUAAAGGAUAAGUGAAAAUGAGAGAAUAAUUUUACUGGGGCGGUAAAUUGAUAACUAAUUAUGAUCCAAAAUUUUUGAUUGUUAGAUUAAAUUACUGUAGGGAUAACAGCGUAAUCUUAUUUAAGAGUUCAUAUCGACAAUAAGGGUUGCGACCUCGAUGUUGGAUUAGAAUUCCUUCUUGGAGCAGAAUCAAGAAUGGUGUCGU
rnacentral:rRNA from 1 species